rnacentral:rRNA from 1 species
UACAUGGGGUGCAAACGUUGCUCGGAAUCAUUGGGCGUAAAGCGCGUGUAGGCGGCUUGGCAAGUCGGGUGUGAAAUCCCUCAGCUCAACUGAGGAAGUGCGCCCGAAAACUGCUUUGCUUGAGUGCCGGAGAGGAUGGCGGAAUUCCCCAAGUAGAGGUGAAAUUCGUAGAUAUGGGGAGGAACACCGGUGGCGAAGGCGGUUCUCUGGGCCUGUACUGGACGCUGAGGAACGAAAGCGUGGGGAGCGAA